AUUCGAACAGAAUUCAUUUAAAUUUGUCAAAAAUCAGUUUACGCUGUUGAGUCGUCAAUAAAUUAUUUUAUUAUUAUUACAAAUUACUUUUGCGCUCCAUUUUCAUUAUUUUCUGUUACUGUUGCUAUAAAAUAAUAUAAAAUACGAAUGCGUGUAUGAUUAUAUCGUUGUUCUCUUUACUACUCUUUUGUAUAUAAGGAAUUCGUUGCAACAAAGAAACUGUUUGGAAGCUGCAACUUUCUGAAUAAAUGUUAAAUUAAGAACGCAAAAUGGAUUAUUAGUAAACAUUAUUGUGUAAGAACACGCGUAAGUAAUCAUAUCAAGAGAUCGGUUAAUUAAGGAACGUGCGCUAAAAGAACAUCACAAGAGAUGGCCCAAGACAAAAUAUAAUAGAAUAGAAAAUCAGCGGGCGAAAAUAAUAUAUUCUAAGAAACACAAUCAACCAUUCCAAGGCAGUUUAAAACUUGUAGGAGAAGUUCUCUGUUAGUAGGAGAAGUUCAACUAAACUUCUAUAAGUUCUAAAAGUGCAAAAUUUAAGUGGUCGGUUUUCGUCUCAUAAUGCUCAUUAUAUCGGUGUGAAAGCUACUUUACCUGACUUAUUGAGUAUCUUGAGGUUUACCCAAUUUAUGUGCGCUAUAAGCUAUCACGUAAACCUACCUGACAAAUUCAAGUGAGACAUGUGCAAAUUUAAAUUUUUUUCCAUUGUCUUCCACCUCCGAGCCUUUUUAAUUUCUACUGUGACAAAUUCACGUACACAUGCGGUCCGAACAAAUACGCACGUGUGUUCCUAUGAUAACCACAACACGCACAGCUGCAACUAGCACAAAAAGAUAAAGCAAUGAAGAGAUGCAGGAAAUUUCCGCAAAAAACAUUGGCUAACAAGUGUUUGGUGGUAUCACAUAAAAACAAGAAUAAAAAACUGUGUGGGUGAGGGAGAACAGCAGACAAUCAUAAGGUAAUUGUGUGUGUAGGACUUUUACCUAUCAUCAAAGUCACUCAGUGAGUAAAGAGAGAGAGAGUAUGAGCAGCGAAUAUUGAGUUGCUCAAUAUUUGAGAGUAUAAAAUUUGGCUGGCAGAUUUACAACCCACACAUAACUGUCCCAAGAUAUCAAAACAGGUCACGGGAGCGUAUAAUGUCGUUGGACUUUAUAUUGAUAUAUAUAUAUAUGCGGCGUAACAGACGUAAACACAUUCCACUGAGGGAUUUUUACGUAACGAUUUGAAGAUUUUGGCGCAAAUUUUAGCGGCAAAGGAAACUAAAGCUCUGAAAAGCAAAUAAAAUCUUCGACAAUUCUUUACCACACUCCUGACAAUAAAAAGCAUACAACAGUGAGAGGUGUCGUCAAAUGAUACCUUUGGGUCGUAUAAAUAUUAAAAGCAUGCACCCAACAAAUGCAAUAAGUGAAAAAGGUUGGAAAAUUUGCCGAUGAGCCGAUAGCGGCAACUGCCUCGAGUAUUAAUGUGCUCGUACCCAUUGGUGUAUAAUAAAUUGGCACAUAACACAGCACAACCCUUCCCUUGGUGUUGCGCCGAAAAAUAUGCUUCAUUAGCCCCAGGCAAAUGGUUGAAAUUCCAGCACAGUUGACUGCAAGUCUCUAAAUUACUUAUUUAAGCGGACAUUGUGUGUGCGCUAUGUUUGUGUAGUCGUGUUUUGUUUUGUUUUGUUUUCAAAGCGACAGGCUAGCAGUAAAAGACCGCGCCUAGGGCUAUGUUACACUUCCAUAAGCAUAUGUAAUGAAAAGUAAGCAAUAAAUUGUAGGCGAAGGCUUGUCAGUAACAGCAAACACCCACCCAAAAAAGGGAGGAGAAAACAAUUAUGACUUAUGCCAACAUAUGUGCCUGAAAACAAAAACACACGUGGUUACAAUUUUGUCUUUUUUUUUGAGGCAUGUCAUAUGUGCUUUAAUGUGAGAGGAUUUGAAAGAAUUUAAUAUUAAAGCUUUUCAUGGUGGGUAGGACAUUGAAAGACAUUUAUGUAAGAAAUUUUAUGAAUUCUAUAAAAUUUAUUUUUUUUGUUUAAAGUUAGUUUAGGUUAGAUUAGAUUGCAUUGAUUUAGGUUAGGUUGUAUUCUGAAAUAGUUCGUGGUGCGUUCAAAAUAUAACGGGAAUAGCAAUAUUUAAAUAUAAUUUCACGGUUUUGGAGAGUCUAAUUGUCAAUUUUUUUUUAAUUAUGAUCUCCUGAGGUACGAUAAAUUUUCAGCUGUAUUCAUUGCUUACAUUGUCUCCAGUAGUCUUUUGUUGGAAACUCACACUUCGCUUCUUGUUUUUGAAUUGUUGGCUAAAAACAAUACUGUGGCGUUGGCACAGCUUUCUAAUUCACCAGACAUGACUCCGUGUGUUGUUUCCAAAAAUAAGAAGAACCUUAAAGGGGCGUCGUUCUAUGAAAAGUCGCUUAAAGAGCCAAAGACUAUACCAAAAAUCGAGUUUGAGAAGUGUUUCGACUAUUGGAAGAAGCGCAGGUAUAAGUCCAGACACGAAUAAAUAUAU